UGGGAUGUGGCUCAGUUUGUAGAGUGCAUGCCUAGCAUGUAUGAAGCCAUGGGUUCAAUACUCAGCAUCACAU
rnacentral:tRNA from 1 species